CGGAGGGUGCAAGCGUUAUCCGGAUUCACUGGGUUUAAAGGGUGCGUAGGUGGGCAAGUAAGUCAGUGGUGAAAUCUCCGGGCUUAACCCGGAAACUGCCAUUGAUACUAUUUGUCUUGAAUACUGUGGAGGUCAGCGGAAUAUGUCAUGUAGCGGUGAAAUGCUUAGACAUGACAUAGAACACCAAUUGCGAAGGCAGCUGGCUACACAAAUAUUGACACUGAGGCACGAAAGCGUGGGGAUCAAACAGGAUUAGAUACCCUGGUAGUCCACGCCCUAAACUAUGGAUACUCGACAUUUGCGAUAAACUGCAAGUGUCUGAGCGAAAGCAUUAAGUAUCCCACCUGGGAAGUACGAUCGCAAGAUUG
rnacentral:rRNA from 1 species